AACGAACGCUGGCGGCGUGCCUAACACAUGCAAGUCGUACGUGAAAGCCCUUCGGGGUGAGUAGAGUGGCAUACGGGUGAGUAAUGCAUAGGAACGUACCUUUUGGAGGGGGACAACACCGGGAAACUGGUGCUAAUACCGCAUAAUAAGGAAACUUUAAAGGUGGCCUCUUCUUGAAAGCUACCGCCAAGAGAUCGGCCUAUGUUCCAUUAGCUUGUUGGUGGGGUAAUGGCCUACCAAGGCUACGAUGGAUAGCUGGUCUGAGAGGAUGAUCAGCCACACUGGGACUGAGACACGGCCCAGACUCCUACGGGAGGCAGCAGUGGGGAAUAUUGCACAAUGGGCGCAAGCCUGAUGCAGCAACGCCGCGUGAAUGAAGAAGGCCCUUGGGUCGUAAAGUUCUUUCGACAGGGGAGAAGGGUCAAGUUGCAAAUAGCCUCUUGAUUUGACGGUACCUGCAGAAGAAGCACCGGCUAAUUCCG
rnacentral:rRNA from 1 species